AGUGAACGCUGGCGGUAGGCCUAACACAUGCAAGUCGAACGGCAGCACAGUAAGAGCUUGCUCUUACGGGUGGCGAGUGGCGGACGGGUGAGGAAUACAUCGGAAUCUACUUUUUCGUGGGGGAUAACGUAGGGAAACUUACGCUAAUACCGCAUACGACCUACGGGUGAAAGCAGGGGAUCUUCGGACCUUGCGCGAUUGAAUGAGCCGAUGUCGGAUUAGCUAGUUGGCGGGGUAAAGGCCCACCAAGGCGACGAUCCGUAGCUGGUCUGAGAGGAUGUUCAGCCACACUGGAACUGAGACACGGUCCAGACUCCUACGGGAGGCAGCAGUGGGGAAUAUUGGACAAUGGGCGCAAGCCUGAUCCAGCCAUACCGCGUGGGUGAAGAAGGCCUUCGGGUUGUAAAGCCCUUUUGUUGGGAAAGAAAAGCGGCAGGUUAAUACCCCGCUGUUCUGACGGUACCCAAAGAAUAAGCACCGGCUAACUUCGUG
rnacentral:rRNA from 1 species